UACGGAGGGAGCUAGCGUUAUUCGGAAUUACUGGGCGUAAAGCGUACGUAGGCGGCUUUCUAAGUCGGGGGUGAAAUCCUGGAGCUCAACUCCAGAACUGCCUUCGAUACUGGAAAGCCUCUGGAGUCCGGGAGAGGUGAGUGGAACUGCGAGUGUAGAGGUGAAAUUCGUAGAUAUUCGCAAGAACACCAGUGGCGAAGGCGGCUCCACUGGCCCGGUACUGACGC
rnacentral:rRNA from 1 species